rnacentral:ncRNA from 1 species
UAACCGUCUGAACGGAUCCUUUACCGAAUGAACGCAUUCCGACAACAACGGCGCGUUUGUGAUCCUGCAAGGCUCCGGCAACGAUUUCCGCGGCAGAAGCCGAUCCUUCGUUAAUUAAAACGACAACCGGUUUGUUUUUCGUGAUAUCGCCUUUUGUCGCGCUGUAACGUUGCAUUUCUUCGUCACGGCGCGGACGAGUGGAAACGAUUUCGCCUUCUUCCAAGAACAGAUCGGCGACGGAUACGGCCUGAUCCAAAAGACCGCCCGGAUUGUUGCGCA